GAGCCGUAGGCUCGGAGAGUUAGAGCGUCUCGUUGACGUCGAGAAGGUCUCAGGUUCGAAUCCUCUGCCCACCA
rnacentral:tRNA from 1 species